AUUCUUUUAAAUUGUAGUUGUCAAUCAGCACUUUUCCGGCGGUGCACGUUAUGAGUUCAGAGUGAGUGUCUGUUCACCCCUCAGUUAAUCAGCGGUCUUGAUGAUUGCUGUAAACAGUAGCCAGAGGGAAUUGUAUGCGAGGAAUAUUCUCUUGUGGCGUGGGUCUCCUCUCUCAUUCUCCGGACCGUUCUUUGCUCUCGUCUUCAGUACGAUCUUCUUCCCGUUCUGCAGUGAAUUGCGCUCAAAAUAACCUGAGUACAUUUGAGAACCACGUGUUUACGCUGCGAUCGCGCCGUGGGCCAGCAGCAGGAUUUGCAUCGUCUACUUCCUUUACUUCUAAAGCAAUCGCAAAGUUAUAAUCGGUCUGUCCUUUGUAUGAGAGCCGAUGUGUGGGUGUGUGUGCACUACAUUAGCUCGAUUUUGCUGUACAUCUUUUCUUGAAUUCUAAUGUGUGAAUAGUGUUUAGAUUUUGCUUUUAUCUAAAUGUGUGCGUAUCCUUAUCGACCUUGAUUAUUUUAUUUUUAUUUUCUCUGUGGUCAUUGUUGUGUGUUUUUUUUUUUUUUUAUUAAACUCAGUUUAUU